rnacentral:lncRNA from 1 species
GUUCUAUUUUUAGCCAUGGCGGCCAUCUUGGUUGGUUGGCAGGGUCAGGCCACACAUUUUUUAAACUAGAUAUCCCAAAGAUGAUUGUGGCCAAGUUUGGAAUAAUUUGGCCCAGUAGUUUCAGAGGAGAAGAUUUUUUAAAAGAUUACUUAGAUUUACAAAAAUGAUUAAAAAUUGAAUAUAAAGGUCAAUAACUCCUAAAGGGGUCAACUGACCAUUUUGGUCAUGUUGACUUAUUUGUAAAUCUUACUUUGCUGAAC